AACGAACGCUGGCGGCAUGCCUAACACAUGCAAGUCGAACGAGACCUUCGGGUCUAGUGGCGCACGGGUGCGUAACGCGUGGGAACCUGCCCUUAGGUUCGGAAUAACUCCCCGAAAGGGGUGCUAAUACCGGAUAAUGUCUUCGGACCAAAGAUUUAUCGCCUUUGGAUGGGCCCGCGUUGGAUUAGCUAGUUGGUAGGGUAAAAGCCUACCAAGGCGACGAUCAAUAGCUGGUCUGAGAGGAUGAUCAGCCACACUGGGACUGAGACACGGCCCAGACUCUGCGGGAAGGAGGGAGUGGGGAAUAUAGAAAAAGGGGCGAAGGCAUGAACCACCAAGGCGGGGUGAGUAAUGAGGGCUUGGGGGUAGAAAACCUUUUUAACCGGGGAUGAUAAUGACGGAACGGGAAAAAUAAGCCCGGGCUAACCCCGGC
rnacentral:rRNA from 1 species